CCUACGGGUGGCAGCAGUGGGGGAUAUUGCACAAUGGGGGAAACCCUGAUGCAGCGCCGCCGCGUGGGUGAAGAAGCGCCUCGGCGCGUAAAGCCCUGUCAGCAGGGAAGAAAAUGACGGUAACUGAAGAAGAAGCCCCGGCUAACUCCGGGCCAGCAGCCGCGGGAAUACGUAGGGGGCAAGCGUUAUCCGGAUUUACUGGGGGGAAGGGGGGCGGAGACGGCGAUGCAAGCCAGGCGUGAAAGCCCGGGGCCCAACGCCGGGACUGCUCUUGGAACGGCGUGGCUGGAGUGCAGGAGGGGCAGGCGGAAUUCCUGGUGUAGCGGUGAAAUGCGUAGAUAUCAGGAGGAACACCAGUGGCGAAGGCGGCCUGCUGGACUGCAACUGACGUUGAGGCCCGAAAGCGUGGGGAGCAAACAGGAUUAGAUACCCUUGUAGUC
rnacentral:rRNA from 1 species